CUCACUCUAUAGCCCAGGCUGGCCUCGAACUCACAGAGAUCCGCAAGCCUCUGCCUCCCGAGUGCUGGGAUUAAAGGCGUGAGCCACCACUGCUUUCACAUAUUCAACUGACAAACCUUUCCAGAACUCUCCUUGCUACGGUAGGCUUUGAGCUUGCUGAGGAGAAGCCCAGGCCCUGUCCUUAGGUGUGAUGGGGCAUUCUGGAGGUGGAGGAGGAGGAUGGGAACAAAGCCUGAUCAUCCUUCCUUCAAAACCCUGAGAUCCACACCAGAAGAAAGCUUAGGGAGCAAUGAGUGCAGAGAGGAGGCUUCCGUGUGGGGGCCCAUCCUUCACCCCCAUAUUUUCCCUAGAGUACUCUUGAGUAGGAGCAGCAGGAAAUAUUAAAUAGAAGGAUAGUGAGGGGAGAAACAGAUUAAAAAUACAGGAUAGCCUCGAGAGGGCCUGGAUCCUAAUCCAUCGGGCCUUGACUGUCUCUGCCCUAGGGUAUUUAAAGAAAUGCCAAGGGGUGGAGCAAAAGACCUCCUCCCCCCGCAGCACAGUCAAAUGCAUGCCAUCUCAGACACCUGCACUCAGGCCCGUGGUCUAAUCAUCCUCUCUAUGCGGACCUGCUGGGUAAAGCCACGAGGAAACCCAAAUGGGCUCCAACACUUCUGCCCGGCCCUGGCAGGCUUUUCAGAGGGUGGAAGGGUGGAUAAAAGCCAGUAGGGGAGGAAUUAGGGCCAGCUCAUGUGCCAGGUACCACAGUGGAACUGGUGAGAUCCCUUGGACUUGGUAUUGAGGGGACCCCGAGGGGUUGGUGGUGAAACCAGAGGAAGACCAAAACUCAAGGUAAUGGUGGUGGCGCAUGCCUUUAAUCCCAGCACUGGGGAAGCAGAGGCAGGCAGAUCUCUAAGUUCAAGGCCAGCCUGGUCUACAGGUUCCAGGACAGCCAGGGCUACACAGAGAAACUCUUUUAUUUUUAUUUUUUGUUUUUGCUUUUUUCGAGACAGGGUUUCUCUGUGUAGCUUUGCACCUUUCCUGGAACUCACUCUGUAGCCCAGGCUGGCCUCGAACUCACAGAGAUCCGCCUGCCUCUGCCUCCCGGAGAAACCCUGUCUUGAAAAAUCAAAAGAAAAAGAAAGACUCAAGGUUAGAGAAGGCAAAGUCACGAGCAUAGCAAGUGUGGAUGACUCCAUGAAGCCACCAGGGCCAGUCAGAGUACACAAAUGUAGAAAUGUGAAACUUUAAAAGAAAGCCCAAGUAAUGGCACCUGCCACCAGCCUGACAAUUUUGAGCCCUGGGACCUACAUGGUAGAAGGAAAGAACCCAGCAAGUCAUUCUUGACUCCACAAGUGUGCUGUAGUGCACGUACCCCUGCCCUACCCCACACAAUGUAAAUCAAUAGACGUAACUUUAAAAAAAAAUUAAGAAAACAGUAAAGUCAGGUGUGGUGGCACACACACAUGCCUCCUGCAGCUCUAAGGAGUCAGAAGCAGGAAUGUGAAAAGUUCAAGGCUAGCCUGGUCUACAUGGCCAGUUCCAGGCCAGCCAGGACUAUACACUGAGACCCUUUCUCAAGGAAACAAGCAAACAAAUAAAACACAGAGGCGAUCUUUGUUACCAUCAUGUGUUCACCAAAUGAUCUAACUAUUUCAUGGCUGUGUAUUUCCCAUAAGAAGCAGUAUGCCAGGUGUGGUGGCUCAUGCCUUUAAUCCCAGCACUUGGGAGGCAGAGCCAGGCAGAUCUCUGUGAGUUCAAGGCCUGCCUGGUCUACAGAGCGAGAUCCAGGACAGGCACCAAAACUACACAGAGAAACCCUGUCUCGAAAAACCAAAAAACAACAACAACAAAAAUAAAUAGAUAGAUAGAUAGAUAGAUAAAUAGGUCUCCAAAGUGGAAACAUCUUACUGUCCUUGCGUGGUUGAACAGACUGUGUAGUAUAUCCGUACUAGGGACUAUUAUUCUGUGAUUAAAAAAUAUCGAACCGCUGAUGACAUGGGACAACAUGGAUGAAUCUCAAAAUAAAAAUGCAGAAUGUCAGCCGGACUGAAGAGGGAAGAAUGCAUACUGUUUGGUUCCACUCAGAGAAAAUGACAGAAAAUGUCAACUAAUCGAAAAGCAGCAGAUUAGUGGAUGCCUGGGGAUGGGGCAGGGACAGCCAUGAAGGGACCAUUAAAAGGGACCAGGAAACCCUGAUGGUUAACACACAGAUCUUUUACUUUGGUUGUGGGUGGUCAUGGAUUGAUUGAUUCAUGGGUAUUGUCAAAAUGUGUCCAAUUAAAGCCAGACUUGGUGGGACACCCCUGCAAUCCCUCACUUAGGAAGCGGUAGCAAGAGGACGGCAGUUCAAGGCCCCCCUAGGCUACAUGCUGAGUUUGAGGCCAGCCUGGAUUACAUGAGAUGAUGUCUCCCAAACAAACAAACAAAAAAAAUAAUGAAGCUACAAAUGUAAGUAUGGGUAACAAAUGUCCUGAGGGCCAUGUCCCUCAGCCCCCAUCCUACUUGACACUGUGGCGUCAGUUUAUGCUGUGUGGCUUUGCAUAAAGCUGGCCUCUCUCUGCAUUCAACUUUCUUAUCUUUCAGUGGAGAGACAAGACCGCACCCAUCUCACAGGGCACAGGGCCCCACAUACACAGUUGGGUCUCUGUCUAAGAGGGCCUCUCACCUUGAAUCAGCUGGCUGGCAUAUUGAUACAGGCAAAGGAGAAAAAAAAUUGUAAGGCAGAAGAACAGGCAUCUCUGCGUCCAGUCGGCUUGUCCUGAGAGGUACCCAGGGAGCCUGUCCCAUGGGACUUGUCAGAAGUUGGACUCUAGGCAAAGGGCAUGAGCAGAGCACCCCUCUUAGGAAAGGCUGGAAGCAAGGUAGGCAGAGGACUAGCUGAACCUCAGUCUCUGGGAGGGCAGCACUGGCCUCCUGUUCAUGUCAGGGCUGGGGACAAGGCCAGGUUGGCCCAAGGCCCAGAGGGGCGGGCCAGUUCAGCACCAUGGGUCUCGGAGGUAGGGAGCCUGCUGGGACCUCUCUCUGGACACAAUGUCCUAGACUGCUUCACAGCUUGGCUGACUGACAGGGAACAGUGGCUGGCAGAGGGUAUGGGCAGCUGGCCGACUGGGUGGGGGGCAGCCAGCCUGAGCAAAGGGCUUGUUCUUACAACCUGUCCUGCCGCCUUGGCCAAGGAGAGGGCCAGCUCUUUGGAGGAAGGAGCUUGACACCCUGCGGGGAGCUCAGCAAUCCCUCUCUACCUGUGCUGGGCUACAACCCAGAGGCUAUGGUAAGAAAAUGCAAACCAGGAUGUCCCAUGGAGUUCCUUCAUUCUUCCGUUUCCUCAACUAUAGAAGGACACCGAUGCUGCCCCUCCCCUUUGUCACUGAAGCUUCACUCUUUGGAACCUAUGGAUCCAGCCCCCCCAAACCCCCCCAACCCCAAAGCUUAGAAGCCCAGUCUGCGGCAGUGGGUCCAGGGUCUGUGGAUAUCCCUCGACUGUGUACACUACAGCCCCCGGAAGGCCGGUAGUGCCGAGAGUGAGUCCGCUGGUGUUCCACAGUUCCAUCUGGCGGAAGGUUGGGGAGACUUUCCUCUGAGGAGAACUCCAGAAGCAAAACCCCAGUCACUGCCCUGCAUGUGCCUGAAUCGCCACCUAGUGGUGGCUGGCCUCGUUACUACGACAACAUGGGUCCUGCUGGGUAUCAGAGAGAAAAGCAGGAGUCUAAGGAGGUGUGCAGAAGCCUCUCCAGGCAGCACAGACAGGCAGUAGGUGUAGUGGGUAGCCAUUCCAGCUUUGAUCUGGAAGUUCCAACCCCCAUUGAGGCUUCGGUAACUGUCACGCCUACAAGGCGGGGCUGAGAGAGGACCCUGAAGACCCGAGAUUCGGAUGUGGCGGGCGCUCUUGGUUCCUGGACCCUGGACGCUGGAGGUAGACCGAGCAGAGUUCUCCAGAGAACACCGCUGGACUGAGCUACACCUUUCCUAGAUCCCGCGCGACCUACCUAUCCCUUCAUUUGUGAGUUACCCCACAAAAUAAACCUCCCUUUUAACUACGUGGAGUGGCCUUAAUAAUUUCACCAAUAAGUAGGUGCUGUAACAUAGGAGGCACCCGCUCAAAGAACUAGACCUGAGUACCAGGUAGUGCCUGGGGAACAGGAGGCUGGCCACUGUGGGCCUUUUGAUGUGAGCACAGAUUUGGCUCUGGAUGUAACGGGAGCCAUAGGACAUUCUGGGUGGAUGCAAGGCUGCUGUGAGAACAGACUUCGGGUGUACAUCUGGGAUUAGGAGGAUGCUGGCCAGGGGAGGGUAAGGUCAUGGCUGGAUUUGAGAACUGGAAGGGUUGUUGGGUGGGAUGGGGCUGUGAUCUAAGUCAGGGUGUCAACAGUGACUCUGGGAAGGGAAAUGGGAGGGAAGACAUGGUGCCUGCACGGAUAGUCCUAGCUGCUAUUUAGGAGACUGAGGCAGGAGGAUUGUUUGAGUCUAGGGGUUCAGGACCAGCCUGAGCAAAACAGGAAAACCCUGUCUCAAAACAAAAAUGAUGCCGGGCGGUGGUGGCGCACGCCUUUAAUCCCAGCACUCGGGAGGCAGAGCCAGGCGGAUCUCUGUGAGUUCGAGGCCAGCCUGGACUACCAAGUGAGUUCCAGGAAAGGCGCAAAGCUACACAGAGAAACCCUGUCUCGAAAAACCAA